rnacentral:rRNA from 1 species
GACGAACGCUGGCGGCGUGCCUAAUACAUGCAAGUAGAACGCUGAAGGAGGAGCUUGCUUCUCUGGAUGAGUUGCGAACGGGUGAGUAACGCGUAGGUAACCUGCCUGGUAGCGGGGGAUAACUAUUGGAAACGAUAGCUAAUACCGCAUAAUAGUAGAUGUUGCAUGACAUUUGCUUAAAAGUUGCAAUUGCAUCACUACCAGAUGGACCUGCGUUGUAUUAGCUAGUUGGUGGGGUAACGGCUCACCAAGGCGACGCUACAUAGCCGACCUGAGAGGGUGGUCGGCCACACUGGGACUGGGACAAGGCCCAGACCUCUUCGGGAGGCAGCAGUAGGGAAACUUCGGCAAUGGACGGAAGUCUGACCGAGCAAAGACGCGUGAGGGAAGAAGGGUUUCGGAUCGUAAAGCUCUGUUGUUAGAGAAGAACGAGUGUGAGAGUGGAAAGUUCACACUGUGACGGUAUCUUACGAGAAAGGGACGGCUAACUACGUG